CUCUGACAUUUUCCAAAAAAUUGCAUACAGCAGUUUAAACAGAGAGAGCGUAGAGAGAGAAAGAGAGAAAGAGAGAGAGAGAGAGAGAGAGGAACCAUCUCAGUUAAGGUCAAACCUAACAACAACAAACAACAAAGACACCACAAUCUCGCCGGUGUUAUCUCCAUUUGUGUGUCAGAUAUUUUUUUUGGAUUCUGAUUUAAUGCUAUAUCUGAUCGUCAGUCUUCGUCGGCGGCCGGCGGCUGGAGGAGGCGGUGGCGGAGGCGGUGGAGGAGGAGGAGGAGGCGAAGGUUUAGAUAUUUCCGGCAACUUUCCGGUGACCACAAAAAGCUGUAGAGGUCUUCGAUUAUGAAGAAAAACCUAAACAGCAACAAAAAUCUGGCCAAGAACAAUAGCAUCAAUGGCGUUAUCCCCAAUUCUUUCAGGUUUAUUUCCUCUUGUAUCAAGACCGUAUCCUCGAAUGUCCGCUCCGCCGGAGCUUCUGUCUCUGGCUCGAUCUCCGGCGACUCCGAUGACCACCACAAGGACCAGGUGCUAUGGGCUUGCUUUGACAGACUAGAACUUGGUUCUUCUUCCGUCAAUCGUGUCCUCUUACUUGGUUAUUCCAAUGGUUUUCAAGUUCUUGAUAUUGAAGAUACUUCAAAUGUCCGUGAACUGGUUUCAAGGCGUGAUGAUCCAGUCACUUUCUUACAGAUGCAGCCUCUCCCUGCAAAAUCUGAAGGUUGUGAAGGAUUUGGAGCAUCACAUCCUUUGCUCUUAGUAGUUGCAAGUGAUGAAACAAGAAGCUCAAGUACGAUGCAAAAUGGGAGAGAUGGUUUGGUCAGAGACAAUUAUAUCGAACCUCAAACAGGAAACUUUAUUAACUCUCCUACAGCUGUUCGGUUUUACUCAUUUAGGUCUCAUAGUUAUGUCCACGUUCUUAGAUUCCGGUCAGCUGUUUAUAUGGUUAGAUGUAGUCCACAAAUAGUGGCCGUGGGUCUCGCAUCGCAAAUAUACUGUUUUGAUGCACUCACCCUUGAGAAUAAAUUCAGCGUCCUUACUUAUCCUGUUCCUCAGUUGGGAGGCCACGGGAUGGUUGGAGUUAAUAUUGGCUAUGGUCCAAUGGCUGUGGGCACCAGGUGGUUAGCGUAUGCUUCCAACAACCCAAUAUUGUCAAACACAGGACGCCUUAGUCCCCAAAGUCUUAGUCCUUCUCCAGGUGUUAGUCCUUCUACUUCACCUAGCAGUGGAAAUCUGGUAGCUCGGUACGCCAUGGAAUCAAGUAAGCAAUUAGCUGCGGGAUUAAUUAAUCUGGGGGAUAUGGGCUACAAAACUUUCUCUAAAUACUGUCACGAGCUUCUUCCUGAUGCUUCUGGUUCUCCUACGUCAACAAAUUCCAACUGGAAAGUUGGUAGGAAUGCAGCGCACUCAACUGAAACAGAUAUCGCUGGGAUGGUUGUUAUAAAAGAUUUCGUAUCAAGAACUGUUGUGUCACAAUUUAGGGCUCAUAACAGUCCUAUAUCUGCUCUAUGUUUCGACCCAAGUGGGACUCUUCUUGUUACUGCCUCCAUACAUGGGAACAAUAUAAAUAUCUUUCGGAUCAUUCCGGCUUACUCCCAAAAUGGGUCUAGCACUCAAAGCUAUGAUUGGAGUUCUUCUCAUGUUCACCUUUACAAGCUUCAUCGUGGGAUGACUUCGGCUGUAAUUCAAGACAUUUGCUUUAGUCAUUAUAGUCAAUGGAUAGCAAUUGUUUCAUCCAAGGGAACCUGCCAUAUUUUUGUUUUAUCCCCUUUUGGUGGCGAGACCGGCCUUCAAAUACAAAAUUCUUAUACUGAUGGGCCUACCCUCAUUCCUAUUCUAUCACUACCAUGGUGGUCUGCUUCAUCUCUUAUGAUAAGCCAGCAGUCAGUUCCCCCACCACUGCCUGUUACUCUUUCUGUGGUUGGCAGGAUAAGAACGGGUAAUUCUGGUUGGCUUAAUACAGUGAGUAAUGCUGCAACUUCUGCAGCCGGAAAGGUCUCUACGUCAUCUGGUGUAGUUGCUGCAGUUUUUCACAAUUCUUUACGAACUCAUUUACAGCCUACUCUCUUAAAUGCCAGUGCUUUGGAACAUCUAUUGGUUUAUACUCCUUCUGGUAAUGUAAUUAAACAUGAACUUCUGCCUUUAAUGGCGGGAGAACAAGCUGAAUCUAUUUCAAGAACUGGAACAGGUUCAUCAGUGCAGAUGCAAGAGGAGGAGUUACGGGUGAAAGGUGAACCUGUUCAAUGGUGGGAUGUCUGUCGAAGAGCAGAUUGGCCAGAAAGAGAGGAAAGCAUUUAUGAGAUUGCUCUUUGUGGACAACAAGCUGCAGAGACAGUCACAGAUACUUCUGAUUGUGAAGAUAAUGAUAUUGGGGAAACAGAUUCGGUAAAGACAAAUGAACGAUCUCAUUGGUAUCUCUCCAAUGCAGAGGUACAGGUGCGGACUGGGAGAAUACCUAUUUGGCAAAAGUCUAAGAUAAAUUUCUUGACUAUGAGUCUACUGGGGGGUGAAGAGCAGAAUCUCGCUAAAGAUUAUACUGGUGGAGAGAUUGAAAUUGAAAAGAUUCCUAUUCACGAGGUUGAAAUGAAGAAAAAGGAUUUACUUCCUGUUUUUGACUAUUUCCACAGGUCUCAGUCCUAUCAGACUGAUGAUAGGAGUCUUGUUGGAGGCAAAUAUUCUUCAGCUGCAUCUUCUUAUUCUCAGAGUGGCCUUGUUGGGGGAAGUUAUUCAACUACAUGUUCUUAUUCUCAUGGUGGUAAAGAUAAGUUUGCAGAAGAUAGUGUAGUUUCCCACCCUAAUCUGGUGUCACCUGGCUUUGUUGAAAAAGUAGUAGUUGGGUCACCAAGAACACCUGCACCUGUGCAUGGUUUAGAUAAAAUAGAUACAGGGAAGUCUUAUCAUUUUAUUGUUCCAACUGCAAAUGGGAAGGAUGGGUUAAAAAGUCGGAGUGCAAUUUUAUCAUCACCUCCACUGAACCAAAGCUCCUUUAGCAGAGGUGACACUUUAACUUCUCUGGAACUAUCAAGAAAUGGAGUUUCUUCUGGUGGAGAAUGUAAUGAUGUAAAUAGUCCAUCUACUCCAAAGAGUGGCUCACUUUCUACUGGAAAAACUGAUACCGGGGAAGUUCAGCCUUCAAAUAGUGCUGUGACCAGCAAAGUUUUAAACACAAGUUCUAAUCCUUCUGACUCGACUACGAAAAUUCUUGAUAACGGGCAAGUGCAUGAAGAUGUGCACGACCCACUAGAUUUUGGACAGUGUUUUCAAGAGGGGUACUAUAAAGCAUCAACUCGUGAUGGAUACUCUGAAUCAACAGAAGUUGUUACUGAUGUUGACAGCAGCAUUAGUCCUUGUGGCAAGGCGAAAGCUGAGGAAGAUGAGGACAACGAUGACAUGCUCGGAGUUAUGUUUGCCUUCUCUGAAGAAGGGUGAAGGAUCUUUUAAAGGGUUGCGAAACUAUUUUGAGGCUAUUUCAAUUUAGUUAUGGAUGUUGAAGGAAGAUGGUCUGAUUGCAUGCCACUUACUUCUAUAUGUUGCAGGUGUUGUUACUUGUGGCUGACUCCUGCCUUCCCGCACGCUAGCCAUAUGCCACCCCAAAAUUUGCAGUAAAAAUGUCGUCGAAAGGUUGGUUUGAGGUCAGCCGGAUGAAGGUUGUGCGUAUUUAUUUGUAAAUAGUGCUGCUGCUAUUGCUGCUUUAAGAACCAAAUGCUGCUAAUUCACAGAAGUUGUGACACCUAUUCUUUGCUCAUCAAAGUUUCGCUGGAGGAAAAAAAUGCCUAAUUUUUUUUCCCUUCAAAUGGACAUGUACAUUUUGUAUAUAAAAAUUCAUGAGACAUUAUUUGUGUAAACAUGUUCUUUCAUGCUGUGUAACACCAUUUGUUUUCAAUGAAAAAAAAAAAAAUAAGAAGGAAACUGAAAAAGAGCUCAUUUUGAUUUACAAAAAUGAAGUUUGCUGAAGCAUUAUUGUUUUUGAAA